CGAGGUCGUCGCCCACCUAGAUCCGGCGCCCGGCCCGUCGCCCGCCCUGCUCCGUGGCCGCCGCCGACGCGCCGCCGUGUUCGCCGUCGACCACGGCUACCGCCGAGCUCCUCCGAUCGGAAAAGAGGGGAGAGAGCUCGGGAGGAGGAGGGGGAGGGGAGAGAGGGAGAGAAGAGAGAGUUGACAGGGAAAAAAAGUUUUGUGAGACCCAUCUAGAACACUUUUCAUUAGGGGUUGGUAUCCUUAUCCUAUGUGGCAGACUAUGGCUCCCCAGCAUGCGUAGUGCAUGCCCGAACAGCCAGACCACGGCCACCCAUGCUCCUAAGGAGCAGGGCAAAAAGCACUAGCGUGCUGUGCGCUCCUCCACGCUUCAUCCAUCACUCAUCAGGCAUGAUCCUAAUGACGCAACCAUUAGGAUACUGCUUGCACCUGUGCAUGCAUUCACACGACUGACCGGCCUGCUACUACACCCAGUAAGCUUUCCAUCCGUAGGACUCCGAUUGGCACUACCUCUAAUUUGGCAGAAUUAUUGGCACACCACCUGUUGCUGCAUGCAUACAUUAGCAGGCAUGCUACGACAACAUACUAAGGCCGCGUUAGAUGGGAGGGGAAAAUGGACUAGGUAUUCGGCGCGAAAAACGUAG
rnacentral:lncRNA from 1 species